AUAUAAUGCUGUAUUCAUUGAUCAUAUUUCUGUAUUUAAAUAAGUACAUUUUUUAAAACAUCAUAAAGUGGAUCAGUAAUGCUGUAAUAUCACAUUUCAUGUAUUAUACAACAUUUUUGAAAUGGAGUACUCCAAAGUAAUUUGCUUCUUAUGGUUACCAAAGUUUAAAGAAUACCCUAACAUGCACUCCAAGAUUUUAAGAGGAAAGGCUUUGUGUUUUUCAUUACUGUAUUUUGAAAUCUGAGAGUGCAAAACUAGUUUUCUUAGGUAAACCCCGUAAUCAGUUUCCACAUUUACCUGUAAAAGUCAGUGGAGGGCAUACAUCUGGAAGUAGUAGUGGCGGUACACAAUGUGUGUUAAUAUGAUUUCCAAGGGGUAUCUAGAGUAAACUUUCUUAAUCACAGAUCUGAUCUGAGCAUGCCACUCCUUUCUUAAAAUCUUUUGUUGAUUUUCCAUUUCCCUAAAAGGAAGGCCCACUGGAGCAUGGGCCUUGCAAAGUCCUCUUUCUGGCUUCUGCCUGCCUGCCUUUUCAGCUUCAUCUCUGCCAUCUUCCCUGAAUGAACUUUUGUCAGUGGCCUCGCUCUUUCUACCUAUGAGAUGUUGUUUCUGCAUGUUCUUGCAUGGAAUUCUCUUCCUCCCAACCCUGUUUCAUUCCUUUAAUCUGUACAACUCUUUCUUAUCCUGAAGUCUUUAUGUUAAGGUUGCCUUUUCAGGAAGACUUUUAAUUGUAUUAGCUAAUUAAUUAAUUAAUAGUCUGAGGUAUUUGGAGCUGAGAUUCUAUGGGGAUUAGUUGCUGGAGGGUAGUUUAGAGCCAGAUUGUGAAGGACUUUCUAAACUGUGCUUUCAAGGUUUUGAACAGGAAAAUGAUGUAGACUUUCUGUUUUUUGUAAGUUUGGAGGAUGGCUUGUGUCUUAAAAGAAUAUGUAACAUAACCAUCUAAUUUGUGAGUAGUGGACUAAGGAAACACCACUCUAACCUUUUUCUCUCUGCGAUAAUCCCAUCUUCAGCCUCUCAAGCACUGUGAAAAAUCACUUUCUCUUGUUGUAUUCUUGGAGCCCCUGCUAAUUCAUUAUUGAAAAAUACCUGCUGCCUGCAUUUGGCCUUAUGUUGUCAUUUACUUGGUACUUCCUAAGCGUGGCUACUCCAAUGAAGCUUUAGUAUAUGUACUGAAAGAAGAUCCUCUCAUACUGCCACAGCCAAGAGAUAAGGUUGUAAAUCUUUAUUGGGAGAAGCCGUCAAGGACAGUUCUGUGAAAUGAAAGGAUCUCUGGAUCACCACAAAGUCUGGCUCAGUGACUAUGGCUUUGCAAACACUAAACAUUCCUGUCUCAAGUCCUGUAGAUGGCUUGAAAUAGUAUACAUAAGCAUGCCUUAUAAACAUCUUCAGUCUUUAUCAACUCUUUGGAGAUUCAGCCAUUCUUUUUUGUACUUUAGGGAAUUAAAUCAUUUUAUAAUGUAUAAAUCUGAGCAUGGCCGAUGGCAGAAGAAAUUUUGUCAUACGUUUUUAAAGAAAUAAAAAUGUAUUAUGUUUU
rnacentral:lncRNA from 10 species